UACGGGGGGGGCAAGCGUUGUUCGGAAUUACUGGGCGUAAAGGGUCUGUAGGUGGCCAACUAAGUCAGACGUGAAAUCCCUCAGCUUAACCUGGGAACUGCGUUUGAAACUGGGAGACUUGAGUGUGGCAGAGGGGGGUGGAAUUCCACGUGUAGCAGUGAAAUGCGUAGAUAUGUGGAGGAACACCGAUGGCGAAGGCAGCCCCCUGGGUUAACACUGACGCUCAUGCACGAAAGCGUGGGGAGCAAACAGG
rnacentral:rRNA from 1 species